rnacentral:tRNA from 1 species
AAAGACUUAGUUAAACUAAUAACAUUAAAUUGUCAAAUUAAAAUUAUCUUCCGAUAGUCUUUA